CAAUUUUUAUUAUUAGAAUAUUUAUUUAUUGUGGCGUGUAACUUUCGUAGUUGAAUAUUUCGGUAUUUAUGAGUUUAGACUUAAACUGCUAACUAGAGUAAUUAAUAGAUGAGAAUUUCUUUAUGGAGCUUUAGGUGAGUUGUGCCUAAAAUAAAUAGAAUGAGUAUUAUGUUAGUAAGUUAGUAGAAUGGGGGGUGUGAAUUGGAAUUUUGUAGAAAACCUAACUAUAAAAGCUAGUUAGUAAGAGAAAGAGUCAUUAUUCACAUUUCUUAGGGAAGUUAGAAAGAGAGGCUCUAGAAACAAAGGGAGGAAGAAACGAAGAAGUGAGAACCAAGCUCAAAGAACAACCAAGCUUCCAUUUUUCAAGCUUCAUUAGAGGUAUGAGGGUAGUUUUAUAAUCUUUGAGGUGAAUUAAUGGAGAGGAGAGAAGUAUCCUUCUCUAGCUCAAACUCUUCUCAUCUCUUUUUCAUUUUGGGUUAGUUAUGAGAUUUGGGAAUAUGUUAAUCAUGAAAUUUAUGUUAUGAUAUAUGAUUAUCUAUGUGUGUUCAUGA
rnacentral:lncRNA from 1 species